GAGAGGCACGGAACGAUCACUGAAGUGCCGAUUAUAUGCUCUGGUGAUCACUGGAAUGUGCUCUACUUCACAGACUUUUACAAUAAGGUUGUGGACGAUGACAUUCUGAAGAAGAUGAUUCUUGAAGAAUUUCUCGGCCACAAAAUAGACGACCCUCUCAUCCAGCAUCUCAAAGAUCACCACUAGAGGGACAGUACAGCUAGAGGGGAAUAAUGUUUUGGAACUUUUUAUCUUAAAGCAACAGACAUGAA